AAAAUGCGAUACGCAGUGCGAAUUGCAGAAUUCCGCGAAUCAUCAGAUUCUUGAACGCAACUGGCGCUGAAAGGCUAUCCUUUCAGCAUGUCUGUUUCAGUGUCUUAUAACUUCCCUUGAUUAUAAUGUGUCUGAGAAGGAGUAUCCGAUAUUACACUCUAACUCAUAGAGUGUAAUAUAUAUUAUACUUCGACUCUUACAUGAAAGAUGCUUGUGUGGAUCUUUGGGUCCUCUUGAAUCGGUCACCUGACUUUGGUGAUUUCAUUAGGCAAUCCAAUUAUCUGAAUACACAUUAGAACUGUAUAUCAUCUUCAAUUCUGUAUCUGAAAUUAGACAAGAACACCCGCUGAACUUAA
rnacentral:misc_RNA from 1 species